rnacentral:rRNA from 1 species
GAUGAACGCUAGCGGCAGGCUUAAUACAUGCAAGUCGUGGGGCAGCAUGAGUAGCAAUACUUGAUGGCGACCGGCAAACGGGUGAGGAACACGUACACAACCUUCCUUCAAGCGGGGAAUAGCCCAGAGAAAUUUGGAUUAAUACCCCAUAAUAUAUUUGAUAAGGCAUCUUAUUAAUAUUAAAGCUUCGGCACUUGAUGAUGGGUGUGCGGCUGAUUAGAUAGUUGGCGGGUAACGGCCCACCAGGUCUACGAUCAGUAGCUGAUGUGAGAGCAUGAUCAGCCACACGGGCACUGAGACACGGGCCCGACUCCUACGGGAGGCAGCAGUAAGGAAUAUUGGACAAUGGACGAAAGUCUGAUCCAGCCAUGCCGCGUGAAGGAUUAAGGUCCUCUGGAUUGUAAACUCUUUAUAUGGGACGAAAAAGGGCAUUCUGUUCACUUGACGGUACCAUAUGAAUAAGCACCGGUUAACUCCGUGCCAGCAGCCG